rnacentral:lncRNA from 1 species
UGACUCAAUGGAAAAGCCCAUUCUUGUAGACAAUAACAUGAUUAGACCACAACAAGAGAGCUAUAAGCUAUAGCGAGAUAUAUCGACCUCUCGCCUCACGCGCAUCGCAAGUUGACUGGGUCAUUAUUGUAGUUAUUUGCUCAUUAUAGUUUGCUCGUUGCAUGUUCUCUCUUGCUCCGCUUUGUCCUUUCCCCCUUUUUUGUUUUAUUUUGUUUUUCUUUGAUUUUUUUUAUUUUUAGCUAGUUUUCUUUUGAUUUUCUUUAUUUUUUGAUAUAACUUUGGUUUUCUUCAUUUUUCUUGAGUUUCACCGUGUUUUUCCUUUGUUUUCACUAUUUUUUAUUUUCUUUGUUUUUCCUCGCUUCUUUGUUUCUUUCUUCUAUUUUCCUUCAUUUGUUCAAUUUUGUUUAUUUCUCUUUAUUUUUUCGCCGAUUUUCGCUGGAUUCUUUCUUUUUAAUGUGUUUUUCUUUAUUGUUUUCAUCGGUUUUUCUUUCCCUUCUCAUAUAUCUUCUUUUUUUCUACAUUUUUUUUGUUUCUUUCUUGGUAUGGAAUUGUUUUUUUAAUCAGUUUUCACUGUUUUCCAUUCUCUUUACACUUGUUCUUCNNNNNNNNNNNNNNNNNNNNNNNNNNNNNNNNNNNNNNNNNNNNNNNNNNNNNNNNNNNNNNNNNNNNNNNNNNNNNNNNNNNNNNNNNNNNNNNNNNNNNNNNNNNNNNNNNNNNNNNNNNNNNNNNNNNNNNNNNNNNNNNNNNNNNNNNNNNNNNNNNNNNNNNNNNNNNNNNNNNNNNNNNGUAUAAGCCAGAAACAUUUUUCUAAUACACAUUUAACAUUUUUAAUACAUGUCCAACAUUUAUUUAUACACAUUUUUUACCUUUUCAAAUGCUUGAUUAACAUUAUUCAAAUACAAGAUUAUUAUUUUUUUCUUGCAUGGUCAGUAUUUUUAAACAUUUGUAAUGCUGGACUUAAAUUUUCUAAAUACAAGAUUAACAUUAUUUUUAAUACAUGGUCAAUAUUUUUUUAUACACAUUAAAAAAAUUCGAAUGCUUAAUUAUUUUUUUCCAAUACUUGUUAAAAUAUCUUUUUAAAUGCUUGAUUAACAUUUUAUAAAUACAUGAACAACUUUUUUUGAACGUAUGUUUUUGUAUACAUUUUUUAUAUACAUGAGUAACAUUUUCAUUAUAGACAUUUGGCAUAUUUUGAAUGCUUUACUAACAUUUUCUGAAUAAAAAAAUUAUACAUAUUUAAAAAAAUCAGAUACAAGAUUAACAUUUUUUAAUACAUAAUCAAUAUUUUUUCUACACAUUUAACAUUUUCAAAUUCUUAAAAAAAUCAAAUACAAGUUUGAAAUUUUUAAUGCUUUAUUAUCUUUUUUAAAAACUUGUUCAACAUUUUUUCAGAUGCUUGAUUAACAUUUUUCAAUACAUGAUCAAUUUUUUCACACACAUUGUAUAUUUUUAUACAUUUUUUGUAUACAUGAGAAACAUUUUAUUUAUACAUAUUUAAUUUUUUUCAAAUUUUUGGUAACAUUUAUUUUCAAAUAUUUUAUGUAAAGUAAUUUUGGUAAUACAUUUAUUUAUAAUAUUUGGAAGUAUAAACGAAAGUAAUAAAAAUAAAGGAAAAAAUGAAAACAAAAAAUGUGGAAAAGAACAAAAAGAACGUGGUCCUGGCAUCCCGCACACCUGGGCUGACCCAUUUAGGUCUCACUAUAAGCGAGACAUAGCGUUGCUCAGACUACAUGCCCUCCCCGGCUUUCCGUAAAGCAAAUGUAGAACUUAAAUGUGUAGCUUGCGUCACCGAAUAUUUGUUUCGAUGGUGAUUUCUCAAGCACAUAGAACUUAUUCAAAAAUUGUAAUCUGUUUUUGCUCACGACUUUGCUUGUUCAAAGGCGUACGUCAAGCCGAAACUAAGUUAGGUCAUUCAGUAACAACUCGUUGGGGUAUUGUUUGUGAAGAUGCAACAAUGUGGGGUCCUGAGACUUUGUGACAACCGAUGACAUGUUGUGUCACUUUUUUGCACAAUAUAAUUGUCGAGGACGAGUGUGAAGGGGCAACCUGAACCUGUGAUUUUGAAAAGUCUGUAGAACAAGUCCACAUCCUGAACUUAUAAAUAGGUGCAGAUCAUAUUCUGAAUUUUCUGAAAAUGCAUCUGAAUCUUCGAGAUCAAUAGGUGCACAUGAAAUUACUCAACGAUGUUGUGGAGCAUAUGUGGACCCACAAUGAAAACAAAUGAGUUUAAUGUUUGAAUUGUGCAUUUAAAAAAUUAUGUGUGUGUUUUCACUACGAACAAAUGUUAUUUAUGUGUGAUAUUCAUGUGUAUGAUGGAUGUGCAUGAUUUGAGGGUUUUGAUAUGAGGAGUGUGGCAGUCCGGCAACACAUUUAAGGAGCCGUGUGACGUUGUCCGGUGUUGCACCCGAGCAUAUCUGCAGACGUUUAUGAGUCGGAUUUGCCAAGUAGGACUGUAGACGCUCUAAAAGACUCUACAUCUACUUAAAAAGCUCAAGAACAUGUGGGUUCUAAACCCUGCUUUAGUGCAACUCAAAAAGAUAAAGCUCCCAACUCAUUUUUUUUAAAGCUAUUGAUUCUAAAACAUCCAUGGGCUAAUGCUGAUCAUACAUAUGGGCUGGACCGUUGACUCAGUGCAAAAGCCCAUUCUUGUAGACAAUAAUAACAUGAUGAGACCACAGGCCCUCCCCUGCUUUCUGUAAAGCAAAUGUGGACCUUAAAUGUGUGGCUGGCGUCACCGAAUAUUUGGUUUCCAUUGUGAUUUCUCAAGCACGCACACAGAACUUAUUCCAAAUUCCUAAUUUGUUUUUGCUCACGACUUUGGUUGUUCAAAGGCGUACGUCAAGCCAAAACUACGCUAGGCCAUUUUCAGUAACAGCUCAGUACUAUGCGACAACACAGUUGUGUACUAGUAGUAGUUGGCUAGCUAUUGUUGUCGCGAACACACACACACACGCGCAAUAGUUAAUGGAAGCGCUAAAUGAAGGUAAGGCAUGCUACAUCAUGCGGCUAGUUGCGUCGAUGAAGGGAAACUAUCCUCACUCCUCAGAGAAGCAGCUUGGUGAGUGAGAAAGAGAGUCAGACAUCGGCGAAGAUAUGGUAUGUCUUCGAGUCGCGGGCGAUGAGCCUGAGCGCGGCGAUGGCGGCGGUGAUGGAGAGAACGGUGAAGAAGACGAUGUUGAGCCAGUGCCAUGACUUCUGCAGCGAGGAGAGUCGCUGCCUGUUGGCGACGAGGUACAUGUGGUUGGCGAGCACGAAGGUGAGCGGGAAUGUGCUGAGCGCCCCCGUGAGGCUCAUGAAGUCCCCCAGGAAGGGCAGCGCCGCCGCCAUGAGCGUGUUGACGGCCAGGUAGCCUCCCCUCACCCCGACCCUGAAUAUCACGUUGUGCAUCGCGAACGGGCCUCCCACCUUGCUCCCGAACCGGGUGUCCAGGUACUCGUACAUGGGCGACGCAAAGAUCUGCAUGCAUGUCCAAGAAAGUAACGGAUUGAUGAUUGAAAUUGCAUCUCAUCCUCAAGUGAAAAAAAGAAGAGAAGACUUACGUGUAGUGCUAUGACUGUCUGGAGGAAGGCAGCGAGGUUGGCAACUGCCUUGAUCCACAGGGGCCCAGUGACGUUGUUGAGCAGGUAGGUGGUGGUCUGGUUGCCGUAGGCCCAGUAGCCGAUGACUAUGAUGGCGUAAAGGGGCAGGGAGCCGGCGGUGAACUGGAACCACAGCGCCUUCUCCAUGUUCUUCACCACGGGCGCCUGGACGGUGGCCUGGAUCUCCGGCAGCAUGCCGGUGUUGUAGGCGAACACCAGGCUUGCCGCCGCGCCGAUGGUGGUGAACACCCUGCUGGACGGGUCUCCUUGGAUGCUGUAGUCCCGAGGCGGAUUGCGGAAGCCGUCCUUGAGCGACAGCACGCAGGCUGCAAAGAUGUAGGUGAGGCUGAAGAUGGUGGAGAAGCCCAGCCAGAUCCUCAGGGCCGACAGGUACGGGAUCCCGAACGCGAAGAGCGCGCACACGAACCCGGACACCGCGAUGCAGUAGGGCAGCUUCAUAGCCCCGUCCGCACUCACCAGCAAAUACAGCGCCUGCAUUUAUUUAUUUCUCCACCGUGUCAGUCAGUCAGUCAGUCAGUCAGUCAGAGAAACACCAAAUCCACAAUCAUGAAGAGGUUGAUGGUACUACCUUGAGUGCUUGCCCUGCUAUUAUGAUGAAGCCUGUGUUGAUCAUGAAGAGGUUGAUGUACUGCAUCGCCCAGGUGAUCUUGUACAUCUUGGGCCCGUAGAUGUGGCCGGCGAGGUCCCUGUACCUGAUGUGACGCUUGCCGCCGAGCAGGUGGAGGCGGCCGAGCAGCGCGUUGGCGUACAUGGACACGGCGGCCGCCAGGAGGAGGCCCACGGUGCCGCCCACCCAGCCCAGCGGGACCAUCAGCGAGCCCGAGUAGCCCAGCACGUAGGCGCUGUUCACCCCGGUGGUCAGCACGAAUGCCACCUGGUACCAUGGAUCUGACAAAAUUCCAUCACACACAUAUUACUUCAGGUUCAGGGAUUCCAAAAGGCCGAAAAUAUUCAGAUCCCUUGUGAAAGUACACAUCCUGCAUCUCCCAUGCAUAUGCAUGUACGAGUACCCAACAGCCAACAGAUUCGCACGUGCAAGCAAAGUUACUAUAGAGUAAAAGAAAAAAAGGCAUCAACUGAACCCAUGUGUGUUAAUUUGACUAUGGCACCGCACUGCACUAGUGUGGUACAGUACACGACAAGGACACAGCUGAUGCUGGCAUUAUAUAUAUGUAUACAUAUUAUCUACAACGGACGAUGCGGUGGACGCAAGCCUGGGAGAGAUGGUCAAAGGAUGCAUGCAUGGAUGGAUGGAUGGAUGGACACUAGCAUCCCUCGAAUUAAAGUCUGAAAUGGCUUCAAGAACAAACAAGGCCGGGGUAUAGUUAAGGUUUGUGCGGUUGCAACCUAAGAAUGAUCGAUCAAAGAGGACAAAAACCAGAAGAUGAACAAGAACCAAGAACAAGAACAAGAGCUUCCUGUUUUCUGUAUAUGAAAAGGAAUUCGGAAGGAGAGAGGGAGCGUACCAACGCCAAUCUGGUGUGAGGUUUCAUCGGCGACAGGCAGGUCAUCAAGCUUGUCCCCGUGCCCAUUCUUGGAGGGGUUGGCGUCCACCACGAUCACCUUCUCCGCCGGCGGCGUGGCCAUCUUGUUCGACCGUCUAUCGAUGUAUAUGCUGGAAGGAAGGCAGGCGAUCGAUCGAUGGGUUUGGUUUGGUUUGGUUUGGUUUGGGUGAUAUAUAUAGCAGGAGCAGUACUAGCAGAGGGCCGAGAAAUGGCCGGGAAGGGACUAUGAAUGAACUGCAAUAGAGUCACAGCUAGCAGGAGGGAGGGGGAGGAGGUCUCUUAUAGGGGACGGGAGUCAUCGACUAGGACUGAUUUCCUGGUCAACAAAUAAUAUAUUAUUGUGCGUAUUUCAUGUGCGCCGCGUCCUUCAAUUAAUUACUCUGAUCUUCAAUCCUGGCUUGAUUUCUUUUAGGGACGAUCCUGGCUGGAUUUGUGUUUCCAUCACGUUUUCCUCUUGCAAACCUGAUCAAUCAUUAACUGUAAAAUUAGCACUACAUUUAUACUAGAGAUAUCUCGCUUCGCCCUGUAAGAUUCAUGACAUUUAAAGCCUAAUUGGUUUGGUGCCAAUAAUUGGCAUACCAAUUGUUGAGAAAAUUUUGGCUCUUAAUUGGUUUGUUAAAAAUUGGUUCUUGUCCACCUUUUAAAAUGUUGCCAAUUUUUUUGACAAUUUUUGGUUUUGCCAAAUGUUGAUGCCAAACUUUGGCAGCGAACCAAUUAGGGCAUGUACAAUGCAUAGCCUCAAGGUGAUGCUUCGCAUGUCAUGUAGGAUCGGAUAUGACGUAAAGUAGGUUUGGAUAGGGAAGCAGGAUCCUCUUCGGGAGGCGGGUGCUUGAAGAGAAAAAGCAUGCUUCGGUGACAAAAGCUGAAAAGGUUGGAGUGAAAAGUAGAGAUGCAUGUGUAGUAGAGUCUUUAUUUUUUAUUUCUUAAUGAGGCAUACUAAUGAUAGCUUGCAUUGGAGAGAAAAAUGAAUGUAGGUGCUUUAGAUUACUUUUUGUCAUGGGGCAUAUGUAUCCAUAUGCCACCAUUGUACAUGCCCUUAGCCUCUUGUGAUGUGAUAUUGCCUAUAAACACGCCCCGCUUGCGUCUCUAAUUUUCUGCGUGUGCGUGUCAUCAUUCAUUCAAUUAGUUACUUUGAUCUGCGGUCCCGGCUUUGCUUUGUUUUCCGUCACGUUUUACGUUUUCCACGCGCACACGUAGUAUGUAUACGCAGCCAUCUGCGUGGAGGGGAGUUGCAAAAUUCACGGCCCCUUUUUGUCCCAUAAUUAGUCACAAUCACAUGAAAGAAAGAAGGGAAAGAGAUGCGCACUUGGAGUGUACACAGCGGCGUACUGUAUUAUGCAAAAGGGGAUCCCAUCGGAUCAACCUCCAAUUGCGACGCCUUGAUUCCAUUCGUGGGCAUGCAUACCGCCACCCAACUGCACGCCAAACCAACAUGGAAACAAACAAACCAAACUCCAUCACCAACUUGCGACUGAAGCCAGACCACAUUUCUCUUUUCUUUUCGGGAAAUCAAGCUCUUCUUAUCUCCAACUCCAAGCAAGGAGAAAAUGGAAAUUGAAGCUCCCCUCUUAUCUGCAAGAGCUGGGAGAAAAUAGAAAGGAUAAAAUGUCUCCGUGUGAACAUGGUUCAACUGCUCGUCAACAUCAUCCCAUUCUAUCAUAUAUAUUCCGAUAUGCUUAUGUGUAUGUGUAUGUGCUGUGUGCUACUCCUUUACACGCUAGGCUUGGGCUAGCACAAAUUGCCUUGUGCCUCUUGCAUAAUUGGGUCGACGCACCCCGCCAUACACCCCCGUCGCGCCACGCUACAUAAUUACGCCUUUCAUCACCAUCGAUCGACAUUGUGCUUGUACAUACAUGUAGUACGCGCGGGCCUAGCUAGAACCCGUGCGGUAUCUGUCGAACCUUUAGAGCACGGCAAAACGGACACGCGUCGGAUCAGGGGACUAGUCUGUGAACACGGAAUUGAAAGUUUGUCACCGAGAUUAUCCCUAUACAUCCGGCCUCAAUUUUUUUUAAAGUCCACACACUUUAAUAACCAUGCAGUCUCAAAAUGGUUUAAAUGUUCAAAUGCACCAAUAGUUCAAACUUUAAAAAGUUCAAAUAUUACACUUCAAUAUCGUUGUUCUCUUUAACUGCCCACAGAUGCUUAAACAAAUCUCCAUUCAAUUGUUCAUGAGUUGCUUGAUGCCGAAUUUGUUGAUUCAUUUGAAGAAACUCUUCAAAUGCGACUAGAUUCUGGUCUGAAAUUUUGAUAUAAUCACCCAUGUUCUCAAAUUCAAGAUCUGGGAUAGCAUCCCCACCCCCAUUUUCCACGAUCAUAUUGUGCAUGAUCACACAAUGGGUCUGCAUGAUCACACAAUAGGUCAUCACGUUCCACAAGGUCUCUGGAUCCCAUUAUUUAGUAGGUCCACAGAUAACUGCAAACGUACCUACAGAACUCCAAAUGCCCUCUCAACAUCCUUUCUAGUUGCCUUUUAUUUUUAGGCAAAGUGAGACUUUUUCUGGCCAAUUAGAUUAGAGAUGGUGUUGACAAAGGUAGCCAACGGAUGAUAGAUAGAAUCAACCAGAUAGUAAUCCAUGUUGUAUUCAUGCCCAUUGACAAUAUAGUGGCAAGGAGGAACUUUUAUUUCUGUCAACCUAGCAAAUAAGGAUGAUAGUUGCAGCACAUUGAUGUCAUUGCGAGACCCUGGCAUGCCAAAAAAAGCGUGCCAAAUUCAAAGAACAUGUGAUGCAACUGCUUCAAGAAUGAUGGUAGGCUUCUUAACAUGAUCCUGAUAUUGUCCUUUAAAACUUUUGGGCAGUUCUUCCAUUUUUCCAAUGCAUGCAGCCAAGAGAUCCGAACAAACCUGGGCUCCCUUUUGCUUCCGAGAUUGCCCAGAUCCUCUCGGUGUCUGUCACAGUCGGUUCUCUCAGGUAUCGAGGUCCAAACACCUCGACUACGACACUUGUAAACCUAAAAAUGACAUUUGCUCUCAGACAACCGUAGGUACUUGUCCCACGAAUCAACGGCCGUGCCAUAUGCAAGUAUCCACAAUGCAGACGUGCACUUAUGGUAACCAAAGAAUCCAAUCCUUCCCACGGAGUCCUUCUUCAAGAUGAAGUGGUCAUGAAAGGAACGGAUGCCAUCGUAGAGAUGAUCGAAGAUAUUUUUACGCAUCUGAAAGGGCCGGCGAAAAUUGCCAGCAAAGAGGGCAUCAGGGCAAAGUAGUUGCCCAUCAGCGUCAAAUGGUUGUGCACCCGAUUACGGUUGAGCACUUGAUGACCCUUUAUCCAUCCCUUAAAUUCGAGAACAUGCUCCUCCGCACGCUCCGCGUCUACAAGGACCGCCUGCAUCGCUGUCUCAUCGGUGUAGUCCUCCUCGUCGGACGACUCAACAUAGUGCUUGUAUGUACUCCAUAUCCGAAUCCAUUUAUUCAAAGAAGAAGGGACAAAAAAAUUAGCGCAAACAUUUCACUGAACAGUUGCCGGGCACGGUGAGUAUCAUAGGAGCAGAUGGUACCUGCACGGCGGUCGGAGCAGAGAUGUGGAACGGGGGCGAAGGAGAAGCUGUGUGCAGCCCGGGUGUACCGUAGGAGGUGACGGACUUGUCGAGCUCCAACAGGGGUGGGGGCAGUGGGGGUGGUGGAGCAGCGGUGAAGCCAAGAGAGAAAAUGGAAGGAGAGAUGGGAGGAUGGAGGUGUGCGGUCCGGGAGUGGUUUUGGUGGGGUUUUGGGUGGGCCGUGGGUGCCAGAGUCCUAAGUGGCUGCUAUCCGGACUUCCACAAAGCCCCCUUCCCCCUAACUUUUGUCUCGGGUUUACGACAAAAAAUGUGUAUCGACCGCUCGGCGGGCCGAUAUAGGCCCGCGUUGGAUGGCUAAACACGUUCAGACCUUGCAGUCCAAACGGUCGCGGGCGGUUUGUGAGUCCACUUUGUAGAUUCCUUUUCCGUAAAUUAUUUUUCAGGAUGGUGCAAAUAGCGUGGUACUCCCUCCGGUCAUUUUUACUUUGCAUAUAAGUUUUGACCGAAGUCAAAGUAUCUGUACUUUGACCAAACUUAUAGAAGAAGAAAAAUCCACAUUCACAAUGUUAAAUCAAUAUUAUUAGAUUCAUUAUGAAAUGUUGUUUCAUAGUAUAUAUAUUUAAUAUUGUAGAUGUUGCUAUUUUUUAAUAUAAAUUUGGUUAAAGUUUGCAAAGAUUGACUUACCACAAAUUUAAUACGUGGAGUAAAAACGACCGAACGAAGUACCAUACAACACUAAUGUCCUGCCGCUGUGGCAGCGGGGCGCCGUCUUCCUCAUCGUAUGCUGGGCAAGCCCGGUACUUGUGAUGUCUUGGCUUCCCCCAAGGAGAAUGGGCAUGCUGAGGAUCCCCUACCCGAGUGUGGGGCGAGCGAUCAGGCCACUUGUGAAUUGUGAUCGAGGAUCAAAUGAGCUAUCCUAGGGACCAGUACUACUAUUCACUUGUGCGUCCUCUGGUGACGUAGUAGUAGUACCGGUUAGGCUCAGGACCAGCUCUCACUCUCUUCUUUUUCUCUCGGUCCCGCCCUUCUUGGAAACUACUGUAAAAGUCAUACUAUUUGCGCAUGCUCUAGGUGAUUAUCGACAUGCAUCUAUACAAACCAAUUAUCAAUUGGAUAUAGAAAUCGUUUCAUGCGGCUGUACGUGAAUGAGAUAUUCCAUUUCGUCUCCAAAAAGUCGUAGAAAAAAGGUUGGAGUGCAUCUCAAAGAACCUUUUUAUACAUACAGUGUGUGGACUUGUGUACACGCUAGUCUAUCUAAUCAUCGACUUUAGUGGGAAUCUAAAGCGCGCUUUCGAACCAAGAAUUCAAAAAGGAGCUCCCGGAAGGAAGAAGAAAGAAAGACGGAUGGGACUAGCGUGCUAACAAAACGGGCCGACUGAUCCAGCCCAACUAUAAUUGAUUAUGCCCAUUUUCGUUUCUGGUAUAGUAGGCAGGCGUACCUGUACUCACUUUUUGAAAAUCAUCCCGCAUCCAUUGCCACGCGUCAUCGCUCUAAUUUGUUUAUUUGUUUCGAUUCGAAAAAAAGGAGGGUCCAAUCUGCUUGUGUAGACUAAUAAAUCACAGCUAGAAGAUAUUAAAGUGGACUCUACUCCCUCGAGAAGAUUUCUAGGUUCAGUUGCUGUCUCUUGCGCUUGGACCAAAGAUCCAUGGCACAAAUCAUUUUUGUCAGAAACAAAAAAUUAUGCUAAAGACAAUUAGUGGCGGAGCCAUAAAACUUGUGUCAGUAGGGUCGAGUGCUGUUAAAUCAGAUUAGGAAGAACCAAGUCAUUGGGAAAUAGGAUUUUAACAUGGACAUAAAUAAUCACCAAUUUAGCAGGCUCGUUUUGAUAGCCGAAAAGUCAUACAUGGGAACAUUUUUCUCCUCACCUAAGAGAGACUACGACUCACGCGUAUAGGGUUCCCCCGCUUCCUGUCGGUGCCACUAACAAUCUGCCUUGUCUUCGGUGGUCUUAGGUUCAUGGAGCCGUGGUGGAUAUCAGUGGAAAAUAGUCCUAUACGACCUGGUCUCACGCUUCAUCUCAUAAGACCCUUGCUAGAGGAUGCCACGUGUACUUCUCCAAUAUUGAUGCACCCCUUCUUCCAUGGUGGCUCACAGUCGUUCCUAGCUCACUCAUCAAGUUGAAUAGACACACGCAGAUCCACCCGCGAUGACUGCUGCGACAGCCGAAACUGUGAGACAAGCUUCUAUUGCUUUGUAUUCAAAUCAUUUGUCCGCCGUGCCUCUAGCUGAUUAACUGUCGCCGCAUUAGGUGCAACCGCUUCUCACUCUGAGCUGCCGGUCUCACCUCUGCCAGCCCGCUACAGGGCAAGAGAUUGGCGGAAUCACUUCCAUAGCCGCUACUAAUAAACCAUAGCUAUUGAACCGAAUGUGUCCAAUGUGUAUAUUCCUGAUCCGUAUUUUGUCUCUGUUGUUUCGAGAUUUGAUGUUUAAUUGAUGAAGCCCAAGAAAUCCGGCAUGCCCGUCGGUGCACUAGACGACUACCUUUUCUACGGUGUCGGGCCUGCCGGCGAGGGGCACGAGGCCAUGUAGGAGACUGUUAGGAUUCAUGGGGCUGGACGCUCGAGGCGUGAAGUUCGGGAACGAGGAUUGAGGAAGAAGGGAUGCAUCAAGAUUGGUGAAGUACACGUGACAUCCUCUAGAGUGGGUCUUAUGAGAUGAAGCGUGAGACCAAGUCAUAUAGGAUUAUUUUUCGAUAUCGAUCCUUGCGAUGGGAGGGCUCAGACUUCGUUUUUAGGUGUUUUUUUUAGUUUGAAGGGUUUGUGUCCAUCUAGGUAGGCUGUCGGGCCCGUGGGACUGGUGGUACCCAGGACCGUUUGCCUGUGGCCUAGGGCGCGGCUCCAACAGAAGGACCAGGCUGGCUCACUCCCAGAGCUUCAUGGGCAAGGCCCCUGCGAAGCGCCCCCCUCGUGAGGUGCACAUCAGCAAGCAUCAUCAGCAACCUCGUGAGGCGGCUUCCCGAGGCCCUCUGCGGAGGCGUGCAAAGCAAGGAUUGUGCCGCGGAGUCGUGCGGUCCUGCAUCUUCACGUGGGUGACGCGCGCCGCGAUGAGCGAUGCCAGGAGCCGUGCCAGCAAGCGUGGGUAGGGAGGCUUUCCUCUUUCAUGCUAAGAGAGCAAGGACGGCACACCUGUUCCCAAAGAAAUCCCUAAAGGUUACUCGUUUGGUGCAAGAAGACCAGGAGCGGGCUUGCUAGGACGGAGGUCCUCACCGAGCCCACCCACGUGUCAUGGUAGAAAGCUUUAGCAGGCCAAAACCACCUUUUGUCAGGAUAAGCUGUACUCAUGUUCCCUUCGAAUUGGCCAUUGUGGCAACACUUCCCGCCUUGUGUUUUCGGGGAAGAGGGCCAAGGCUAGUAUAAGAUAGGGCAGUCAGCCACCAUAGUAGAGGAUUGGAUCCCCCGGAGCCAGCGAGACCCCACCUUUGUACUCUCUUUCUCAUCCUCCCGCACGAGGCAAUCGAUCCAAAAAGCAGGAGUAGGGUAUUAAACCGCAAGGUGGCCCAAACCUGCGUAAAUUGUCAUGUCUGUCAUUCAUCUUUCCCUUGGCUUGAGCACACCGGAGGAUCAUCGCGAGGCAGUGAGCAGUGAGUUGGAGCUCGGCGAGGUUUUGCACGCACACCCCAGAGUUCAAACCUUUCUUGGGUCCGUGGAGCCCCGAUCCCGACAUUUGGCGCGCCCGGUAGGGGCGUGCCGUCGUUCUUCCGUUUUGCUUCGAUCGCUGCUCUACUGACUCCAUGGCCGAUGCUCGCCAUGUUCAUCCCCAGCGCCGAGCAGCCCGUGUCGCCCAGACAGAGCCCGCGAGCCAUGGCGGCCGCCACCACUCCGCCUCGCCCGCGAGCCGUGGCGACCGCCACCACUCCGCCUCACCCGCGGCCAACACUGCCACCGACCCAGCCGCCCACGAACAACAUGACUCAUCCCCGAACCCUUCCGAACCUGGCGUGACGGCCGCACCGCCACGCUUUCACUCGCCGCUACUACGACUUCAUCUUCCCACGCCCUUCAUGGACCGAUGAACGCACAGGUGCCCUAUUCUUGGCGCAUGAAUUGCUGAGUUACCGCCCAGCCAACGAAGGCUACAACGCUUGGCUUGGUCGCAUCAUCGAGCUCGUCAACGUCGCGGGUGAGGCCCUCACGCCCUCUCAGUCGCUCCGUCCUCCGCCGUCUCGCGCUGGGGACGUGGCGCACGACGCGCCUCCGCCUUCUCCCCCGCGCGGUGCCAAACCCCGGCAUGACACAUAGCUGCCCAACCCGCCGCGUGGAGCGUUGGCUCGGGAUGAGGCCAGCUGCCAGAUCGUCUAUCGCGCGUUGCCGGACGCGCACGUGCUCCUCGAGCAACGGCAGCAGUGCCAACACCGAGCCGUCCAAGAAGUCAUGUCGGCUAGCCGCCAGAAUUGCCCCGCCCUCGCGCGCAGAGCCUCCUCGAGCAACGUCGGUUGCCGGGCCUUCACUCACGAGUUGCGCCGGGUGGUUUGGCCCGUCAAGUUCAAGCAGGAACUGCCCCCGCACUAUGAUGGCAUCCCUGACCCCACGGAGUUUCUCCAACUCUACGCGCUGAGCAUUGAGGCGGCGAACAGAGAUGACAAGGUCAUGGCGAACUUGUUCCCUGGCCCUCAAGGAUGGCGCACGUUCCUGGUUCAUGAACCUGCCCGAGGAGUCAAUCUCUUCAUGGGGCGAGCUUUGCGAGCUAUUCGUCGCCAACUUCAAGGGCACCCAUGAUCGCACCCUCGCCAUGAACCACCUGCGGCGCGUGAAGCAGCACCCUAGCAAGACCCCCCGCAAGUACAUUCAGCGCUUCAGCCAGGUGCGAACAAGAUCCUGCAUGCCUCAAAUGAGGCCAUCAUCAUGGCAUUCACCAACGGCGUCAAGGGCGUCCGCAUGUGCGAGAAGCUCGCCAUCAACGACAGCCUAAGCACGACACUUGAGUUGUUCAACCUCGUCGACAAGUGCGCCAAGGCCGAAGAGGGCCGCCUCUUCCUCCACAAUGACCCCAACGCAACGCACGGCAACGACAAGGCCAAGGUCAUGGAGGUCAAGCGCAAGGGCCCUACCGUGCUGGCCGCGGAGCCCGAGCAGAAGCGUGGCCGUGACCAUGGUGAUCCCAAAGGGAGCAGGCGCCUGUUCUGCGUCUACCACAAUGUGCAUACGCACAAUACCGAUGACUGCCAGUAGCUCAAAGCCCUUCGCGACGAGCAUUUAGGAUGCCGCCCAGACUGCAACAAUCGUGGCGCUGGCCGCGGAGGCGGUCGCGGGGCGGCCGGUGGGACAACCGCAACGGCAAUCCACGUCAGGUUUGGCGUGACCACCCUCGUGAGGGUAGCUGGCGUGACCAACCUCGCAACAAUGCAUGGCGCGAUCAGCCUCGCGAGGCACGUCCUCAGGACAACGCUGCCCUUCCGCCGCUGCCUCCACCAUCCCGAAGGAACAAUAACAACCAGCAUGACGAGGGGGCUGGGGGCUACUAGGAGCCUCGCGCUAUAGCCUGCAUCCCCAGCGGAGCUCAGGCUCAUGCAUCCAACCGCCUCUUCAAGCAGUUCUCUCACGAGGUGAAUGUUGCCUUCCCGAGGCUUGAGGCUGCACGGAUCCUCAAGUGGUCGCAGUACGCCAUCACCUUCGACUCCAAGGACCACCUCCUAUGCUCGGCCACCGCCAGGGCACUCCCCAUGCUGUGCACCCCCACCAUCAGCAAUGUCGCCGUCACCAAGACCCUCAUCGACGGAGGCGCCAGCCUCAACGUGAUAUCCAUCGCGACCUUCGAGAUGCUCCAAGUGCCCUACGACCAGCUGACAACCAGGCCCUUCUCCGAGGUAACGGAUGAAUCGACUACUCCCCUGGGGCAGGUGCGCCUUCUGGUCACCAUCGGCACUCGUGACAACUACCAUAUGGAGCUCAUCGACUUUGACAUGGCCCACGUAGACCUCCCGUACAACGCCAUCCUAGGGUACCCCGCGCUCGCCAAGUUCAUGGCAACAACCCACCACGGCUAUAAUGUCCUCAAGAUGCCUAGCUGCAGUGGUAUCAUCACCGUCACCUACGACGAGAAGGACGUGGUCUGGUCCCUCGAGCAUGCCUACUGGGCCACUGCGGUUGAAACUCCGACGGUGAGAACAUCGUCGCGCCUCCUGAAGCUACCCCCGCAAGGAAGAAGUAGCUCCUCCCCAAGGACCGCCCCGAUGCCAAGAAGAAGUCAGCAGGUGGCGACACCCAGGGCUCCACCCUUGCUGUCGGGGCUUGCCUUCCUCCCACACAGGAAGGCGUGCCCGGUGCCCCCCUUUGGUAGGCUCGGGGGCUUCCUCCUAGAGAGCCUCUGAGCUGACCAGUGUGACAAGGGAGGUGCUCAGGCACCACUUGCAGGCGUGCUUCGAUGCACGCCCCCAUGAGGAAGGAUCAUGGAGCCAGAGGAGCAAGAGAGUUCAUCACCCAUGAGAUCUACAAGCUGUGGGAAGUUCGGGCCAUGCGGGGAGUGCAUCGCCCCGCGCGCCCCAUCAAUCCAGCAGUUACCCCCGACGUGGGCAGUGAGUUGCACGUAUUCGUCGACAUCGCGGGCCUCAACAGGGCCGGUUCCCGUGACAUCUUCUGGCAGUCUCGCGUCGGCCAAAGUAGGGGUGUCGCCACCAACUAUGUCUGCAUGCCCUUCGGCCUGCUAAACAUGGGCGCCACCUAUCAGCGGUUUAUGCAACUCGCGUUGAUGCCUCAAGAGGCGUCAGGCCAACGCGAGCCCCCGAGGCCUCGGCCUGCCGGCCCCUGAGAGGUGGACCUCCGUGACAUGCUUCACCAACUACCCCGACGCCCCCGCAACAUCAUGAUUGCCAAGUGACUUUGUUUUGUUCAUUUGAGGGCACCCCUCGGGCUGCAUCAUCCUUGGACCGGCCAGGGUCUGUCCCUGCAGCCGUGACCUCUUUUGGUUGUGUAAGAGAUUCUGGUUAUCUUUUGGUGAGUUAUGCAGUUUGCUUAACCUCGUACCCGGUGCCUCACCACCAUCGAGAGCGCCCCACCCUCACGACCUCUCUCCUGCCCGUCCCAUGAGCGGGGGCUAGGCACAACGCUUGUGGUUGGGUCCGUCCCUGCAGCACUGACAAACCCAAGCGAUCGAGCUCUGGCUCGCUGGUCUGCUCAUGCGCAUGUUACCUCAUCAGGAUCCUUGGUGCCUUGUUUCCUCAUGGAACAGCCACAAGCGCAUGGCGAGUGCGUCGCCUUAGUGCCGUAAAGUUUUGUAAGUGUGCAGAAGCUAAGCUCUAAAGGACCUGAAUGGCUGCUCAAAGGGCCUUGCGCGGCAAAAACUCCAGGGAUCAAGUCGUGGUCCGCCAAGCGUCACCCCAGGCAUAAGCUAAGUCGAACAGCCUCAUGACGCACCGCUUUCAUUAUUUGAGUCUCUCUCUCAUAACCUAGGCAUAUGCUGCUCUCCUUUUCCACGCAAGUUGNNNNNNNNNNNNNNNNNNNNNNNNNNNNNNNNNNNNNNNNNNNNNNNNNNNNNNNNNNNNNNNNNNNNNNNNNNNNNNNNNNNNNNNNNNNNNNNNNNNNNNNNNNNNNNNNNNNNNNNNNNNNNNNNNNNNNNNNNNNNNNNNNNNNNNNNNNNNNNNNNNNNNNNNNNNNNNNNNNNNNNNNNNNNNNNNNNNNNNNNNNNNNNNNNNNNNNNNNNNNNNNNNNNNNNNNNNNNNNNNNNNNNNNNNNNNNNNNNNNNNNNNNNNNNNNNNNNNNNNNNNNUCACGCCUCGGGGACCCUCAAUAGCUUCUGGAGCCCCUCACCUCCUGGCCUUGUCCCAGGCAUCUUGACCUGACAUACCAGCGACGGUUGAGGCCCGCUCGAAGACUGGGUCUCGACGACGCAGAGUACCUAGGCAUACAAGGAAAAGGGGACACCACACGAGGGAACCUCGGGAGGGGGCACAUGCGUCAGACUACAACAUUUGCUAAGGCACAAAGGGAAGCAAUUUUUCACGCACCCCUCACGGGGCUGCAUUGAUCUGUCGCAUGAUAGAAGGCGGAACAGGAAAGAAACUGUCGGGAAGACGCCCCUUCGUGCCGCAUGAACCUCUUGCGGGUUGCGGCCGUCUCAUGGCGCGUUUCGAAGAGCUAAGUUACCACCCUAUGCGGCUUCGCGGCCCUUCCUCUCAUUUCUUCCUUCCGUGACUUCGCCCUAGGUGGAAGCCUCUCCUCUCGUAUGAAUCGCUUGCGCGUCAAGGGGAACCUCGUGAGCACCACACCUCAGGAGCUCUUACCGGACCUCGAUACCCUAACCUCUUGGCCUUGUCUCAGGCACCGCUACCUGACAUACCAGCAACGACGAAGGCCCACUCGGGGCUGGAUCCUAGCGACGCAAAGUGUUGGUGAUCGCGAGGAAGGAGGGCAAGCCUGAUGAGGAGCGUUAUAAACAAGCUUGUUCCAAAACAACAUUAAAACUUAAUGCAUGAGAGCCGCAAUUCUUCUUACAUGCCCCCGCGGGGCUGGGAUGGUGCAUUGCAGGAAAGGAAAGACAAAGCAAAAGGAAAGGACCGAGCCCGUGCAAUCCCGCUCCCAGGACUCUGACUCCGGCGUUGAUGCGCCUAGUCAGAGUCUUCCUUCUUGACGCGGAGGCGGGGGGAUUCGUCAGAAUCGUCGUCGCUCUUGGCUUCCCCGGAGGAAGUUGCACCAAUGCUGCUGCCGUCACCAUCGGAGGAGCCACCGCUGCUGUCGUCAUCACUCUCCAUGCAGCAACUUAGGUGGUCGCUGGCCUCCCCGAAGGUCUUCAUGAAGAGCGUGGCAGCCCCAUUGUACUUGAAGUGGAGGACAUGCCCCUCCUUCAGGCCACGUGCGAGGGCGAACAACUUCCAUCCCCGCUUCAAAAACAUGAAACCAGAGGGAGUGAACUCAGUCACCACCCAGGAAGAUCUGUUACAGCAGUCGUCCGGCUGCAGUCACAGGCCCAGGGGCACGCGCUCCACCAUUUCCUCCGCGAAGGAGUCCGGGAGCGGGAGGCAGGUACGGGGCUGGCUGUCCAUCCCCAUGAUGAACUCGCAGUCAGUGUCGGUGAAGUGGCUCCACGGCCGGGGUGGUCGGGUGGCCGCGCCAUUCCUCUUCCCUCAGUCAUGGCCGCCUUGCACCCCGCGCCCGCGUCCGCGGGCUGAGCUCCUCCACGGCCUCCUGGGUCGGCAUGGGUCGACAGCAAAGGGCGUUUGUGCCCCCCGGGGGGCGCCCCUGGCACAUCGGUGGGCGUGCGAGGGUGGCCUCGCCCCCUCGCCGGUGUUAGAGCUUUCGCCUCCUUCAUCGUCGUCUUCCCCUUCUUAGCAGCAAAGAACCUCCACACGGGCACCAUCGCAACUACAAUGACAGGCAGAAAUGGAAGGGCAAGAGCGGGAAGAUGAGCCAACAGCCCUUCCCCUUGCCCUUAUAUAACGCACGGCGGACGGCUGGCUUGGGCCGCCUUGCCUUCGGAAGGCAGGUGUGGAGCAUAGGAAGAGCAAUAAUGGCCCCGCGCCACGCGCAUGCUUUAUGUCAGCCCGGGCAGUUGUCGAGGCGUCAUGGAGAAGUGGGGGCGUCCAUGUCCUGUCGUGCGCCACUCAUCGAGCUUGGCCCGCGGACGAUUAGGGCCCGCAUCGUUUCGCGCGCUUCCUCAGCGGGCGGAGUCAUGCACGCCGCGGGCCCGGGGGCUACUGUCGAGAAUGUGGGACUGGGGGUACCUAGGCCCGUCUGCCUGUGGCCCAGGGCGCAUCACCAACAGAAGGCCCAGGCUGGCCCGCUCCCAGAGCUUCAUGGGCAAGGCCGCCACGAAGCGCCCCCCUCGCGAGGCGCACAUCAACAAGCAUCAGUAGCAGCCUCGUGAGGUGGCUUCCCAAGGCUUCCUCCCGAGGCCCUCCGCGGAGGAGUGGGAAGCAAGGAUCGUGCCGUGGAGUCACGCGGUCCUACGUCUUCACGUGGGUGACGCUCACCGAGCGGCGCCAGGAGGCGUAGGUAGGGAGGCUUUCUUCUUUCGUGCUAAGGGAGCAAGGAUGGCGGAGCGGUUCUCAAAGCAAUCCCCAAAGGUUACCCGUUUGGUGCAAGGAGACCAGGACGGCGGGCUCACCAGGACGGAGGUCAUCACCGAGCCCACCCGCGCGUCAUGGAAGAAAGCUUUAGGAGGCGAAGAACACGUUUUCUCAAGAUAAGUUGUACUCUUGUUCCCGUUCGUAUUGGCCAUUGUGGCAACCCUUCCCGCCUUGUGUUUUCAGGGAAGAGGACCAAGGCUAGUAUAAGAUAGGGCAGACGACCACAAUAGUAGAGGAUCAGAUCCCCCCGGAGCCAGCGAGAACCCACCUUUGUACUCUCUUUCUCAUCCUUCCUCGCAAGGCAAUCGAUUCACAAAGCAGGAGUAGGGUCUUACACCGCAAGGUGGCCCGAACCUGGGUAAACUGCAGUGUCUGUCGUUCAUCUUUCCCUUGGCCCGAGCCGUCGGAGCAUCGUCGUGAGGCAGUGAGCAGUGAGUUGGAGCUCGGCGAGGUUCUGCGCGCACACCCCAGAGUUCGAACCUUUCUUGGGUGCGCAGAGCCCCGAUCCUGAGAUAGGCAAGACGAUUGGGGCCGCUUCCUGAAGAUGGAAUAAGGUUCUCCCCACCUAGUUCCCGUCCCGGCAAUGCAUCUCGUGUCGUUGGAGGGCGUCUGAAGGUGCAUCUCUGGCGGAUCUCACGGGAUUCGGUCGGUGUUUGUUACCGAUGGAUCCGUGUGGAUCGGUCUCCGUUCGUUUGUGUUCGCGUGUUUAUACAUUGGAUCCUUCUGAUCCACGUGUCUCUUUAUCGGUGACGGUUGUUGUUCUGAUGCAUUGGUCCUUUGACGCCUUAGCACUAUGAUUUCCUAACUGUCUAUUGAUUUCCUGGCUCCUUUGAAUGAGGGGCGAUGACGUCGCACCUUCAGCUCAUUCCAAUGCUUGUAGUUGUCAGUAAGUGGUCACGUCGUAACAAGAAUAAUCACCAAAAAUUGCACCGUGCUCCGUUUUGAAAAAAAAAGUUACACUGUUCAUUAGCAAAUUAGCACUACAUCUGUGAUGGUAGGAGGGUCAGGCCUACAGGUCGUCCCUAUCUCCACCACUGAAAAUAAUACUCCCUCCGUUUCAAAAUGUAAGUCUUUUUAGAGAUUCCAUUAUGGACUACAUACAGAUGUAUAUAUACAUAUUUUAGAGUGUACAUUCACUCAUUUUGCUUCGUAUGUAGUCACUUAUUGGAAUCUCUAAAAUGACUUAUAUUUUAAAACGGAGGGAGUAUUAUGCAGCUGUACUAGAAUGAUCCACAGACUAUAUGAGAUAGGCAGAUAGCAAUAUAAGAAAGAAGAUACGUGCAUGCAUGCGCGCAGAAGAAAUCAGAGACGGAAAAAACGCAGAGAUCGAUCGGCAUGAUUAUGAAGGAUAGUCGGAAAUGACGGAAAGAGAGAUAUAUGGAGAGAGAGAGAAAGAGAGUGCGAUUGGAUGCGUGUACGUACCGACGCCAAUCUGGUGGGCACUCUGGUCGUCGAUGCCCAUCUGAUCCGGCACCUCCUCCAUCAUGGCCGCCAUUCCUUGGGGUUGAUCGAUCGGGUCCGGCCGGAUGUAGAACUCAACUCAGCAGUUCACUUGAAUCAAAUGCUAGCAAUAUUCGAUGGGGUCCGGAUGGAUCCAAAUCGGCUCGCCAUUCCUUGAUCGGGUCGUGCCGGAUGAACUCAACAGUUCACUUCCAAGUGACAAUUUCGUUGUUGGAUCCAAAUCAGCUGGCACAAAUUCGAUCGAUAGGAGAAAACGCGCGGCGGCACACCAUGCAUCGAUCGGCCGCGUUUAUGGGUUUUGCUUGGUUGACAGCCGGAAGAGGAAAAUGGAAGGGAGAGAACGAGUCUUGUGAUCAGUCACUCCACAGAAUGAGGUAGGACGUGUGUCGUGAACACAAGGCAACGCUAGCUGAUUCGUCGGAGCGGAGGACCAGAAUUAAUUUCCCCCGCAAAAAAAGAUGUAAAUUAAUUUAAUCUAUUAUUGUUCGGAAACAAUAAUAAUAAUAAUUUACUCCUAAAAUCGUCCCAGAUCUCAUCAACCCAACACAUGCAUCCUAUAGUAGUACUACCUCCGUCCUGAUUUAUAGGUCCUCUUUGUAGUUUGUGCCAAAUUUUGACUAAAGAUUUAACUAACAAAAUAUUAAUGCAUGUCAAGAAAAAUUAUCUCAUUGUAUUCGUAUUUGAACAUAGUUUUCAAAAAUAUAAUGAUGACAUGCGUGGACAUUUUGUUAGUUUAAUUUAUGGUUAAAAUUUGGCACAGAAUACAAUGGGGACCAAUAAACCCGGACGGAGGUAGUAGUAGUGUAUGCAGGGAUAAUAUAUGUUGUCCGCAUCAUGCACCAAUUGCUGGUUGCACUUGCGUAUGCUUUGUAUUCCAUGUGCGUCGAUCACGUUUUGAUGUCGCCCAUUUUCCACGCAGGUGCAUAUGCACGGCUACUCGCGUACAAAUUUAGUCAGGUCACAUGACAGAGAUGCGCACGCACCAGCCAAGCCACCAGCGCGGCGUCCCUUUCCGCUUCCGCUCCCAUCAAGAUCAAAUCAUUGUUGCGACUCCGGUGCGUUGAACGCUGCUGCCACUCUAGUCCAGGUCCAGCCCUAGUCCACAAUUUGGGCGCCUUGAUUCGUGGACAUGCAACACAACGACCCAACCACCCCUACGCCGUGGUAGGGAGAUAUGCCGUUGAGGCAGCAGAACAUGCAAAACAAAAAAGUUGUAUUUAUUUGCCCGUAAAGCUUUGUGUUUGUGUGUACACGAUUGACCCGGUCGUCGCAUCACUCCCCAAAGAUUUCUCAUUGUUUUUUGUCUCUUGCACAUGUGCGCCCAUACUCAGCACUCAUCAGUCAUCACGACGCAUGUUUUCCCCUCUCCUUUUUGGGUCUCGACGCAACAAAAACUGCUUUGCUCGAUUGUACUGUCAGUUUUAUCAUCCACUGAAAACCACCACUAGCACCAGUAGAGUAUAUAUGGCUAGAAAAGAAAAACAGAAACACGGAACUGGGUCGACCAGAUGGAAGAAACGUGUUACUUCCAGGCCGAUUGCUAAAGCCCAGCUACCACCUCCUUGGGGCCCACACUGCAACUCCUUUGUGGUGGUCAGCACGUACCCGGGUUGAGCGAGAUUACACACACAACGACAAUGGUAGGCCCAACCCACUACAUGGAAAGCCCACCACACCCCUCCCAUGUUUUUCCAACACCGCGUGUCGGCUCGUCUCUAACGUCCUGUCGCAUCAAAUGUCUCAAAAAGCGAUCAAAACGAAAAACACAACACCAUCGACCAAAACUUCCUAGGCACGCACACGGGCAUCCAUUUACUUUUUUCUUUUGCGAGGAAACAUAGGGUAUUUACUUAAGGAUUGGUGAAUUUGUGUGUGUUUUUACCUUUUUUGCGGGUUUUUCGUCCUUAAUUGAUGCGGAUUGUUGCUAACUUUUGGCGCUUUUGGCAGCUCCAUCCACCUCAUCUCCUAUGACUUUUCAUUAUUUUUUCCAAAUUAGAAUCUAUUAUACCUAUUAAACCGAAAGUCCAAAUUAAAGCUUUGUUUCCAUAUUCGUGUUUGUUGCAACACGUACUCUUGGGCAAGACUAAUUUUGAAUACAUUUUGGCAAUUUUUAAAUUUUUGUCAAGUUUUAAUUUUAAGACCUGAUAGUCAUAAUAUUAACUUUUAUCAAGUUUCACCAAUUUUCAUUUGCUUUUAGGGUUUAGGGUUAGGUCUUAGAGUUCUGGGUUUCAGUUUUAGUUUUUGAAACUUAGUGAAUGCAUCUUUCAUUUCCAUCAAGUUUUAGUAGCUGAAACUUGGCAAAGUUUUAAAAAACAUGUCAAAAGGUAUUCAAAAGUUGUCUUGUUUAUUUGAAAGGUAUUCAAAAUGUCUGAAACGAGACAUAUACAAAAGAACUUUAUCAUCAACAGUAAGUUCUUGUUUCUGAAUUCUUUUAUCAUGACACCUUUUAACUUUUUCUUUAAGCAACUUAACACUUUCAUAAGCUUCAGUUCUCCAAUCAGGUGGCUAGACAAUAGGAGCGAAAAUUAAAGCUUUCUUAAAAAUUUCAAAGGCAUCUACACAAUCAUCGUCCAAAACAAAAGGGACAUCCUUUUGCAAUAAAUUAGUAAGAGGCCUAUUAAUUUUAGAGUAUUACUUAAUAAACCUUCUAUAGAAACUAACAUAGCCAAGAAAAGUUCUUAUACCUUUGAUAUCUUGAGGACAUAGGAUUUUCUCAAUAGCAUCCACCUUAGCUUUAUCUGCUUCAAUGCCCUUUUUAGAAAUUUUAUGACCGAACACUAUACCUGACGAUGCCAUAGACCUAGGGUAGGAUAAUAGGCCCGACCUAUACGCCCCACCCAAGGUCACUACCCUAGAAGCAAAGACAUUCAAAGAACAACAGAGAGUAUCAAUUGAAGUCGUCGAGUGCAAUCCACUCGACCAGUCAUCUCAUUCGGAUACUCCUCCCUCCUAAUGUCACUCGACCAAGACGAAGCCAUUCGACUACACAAGAAACCACUCGACCUACAGAAGACCAGGAGCCACACAGGAGGACAACGGUCAGGCGUUCACUCCAUAGUCUUAAAGGUCAUUGAAUACACUUUAUAGCUGGGGUCCUGUCUUAAUGUACAUUGAACCCCUGUAACAGAGGUGGGCUGGGGUCCUAGCGCACUCUAUAUAAGCCACCCUCCUCCUUUGGGACAAGGGUUCGCACCUCCAGUAACACACACACACCCAUAUUCCAGUCGACCGCCUCAGGGCACCGAGACGUAGGGCUUUUACCUCCUCCGAGAGGGGCCUGAACUCGUAAACUCGUGUGUACAAUCUCGCCAUAGCUAGGGCCUCACCUCCUCAUACGUACCCCCUAUUCUUACUGUCAGACUAAGUACCACGACAGUUGGCGCCCAUCGUGGGGCAAAGCGUCUUAGCGACUUCCGGCGAGGUUGCAUUUUCUCCGAUCUUCAUCAACAUGGUUUCCGGCGGCGGUUUGGUCAUUGGCCGCGAGUUCCGACUCGGCGCGCUCACUUUCGUCGCCGACGACUCCGGCUGGCUCCAAGAGGCUCCCCUCGACGUUGAGGCUCUCCGGAUUCGUGGUUCGUCGCACUUCCGCACGAGUGCCGGCAGCGUCCUCCUUCGGCAACCGUCGACCCCGUAUCAGUCGGUCCUCGCGUCAUCUUCUCACUCUGCUGGACGCCACCGCAAGCGAUCUGGUCGAUCGCGGCUCCAGCGGUGGGUGAAGCACGCGGUGGCUCGUCAGACGUUCACCCCCCAAGUCACGGCAAUCGAGCCCAAUGUAUUUCACUGCAGACUAGUCGACCCAUCGACUGACUUUGCAGACACAUUUUCCGAGAGCGGGAGCUGUGACCCGCGGUAGAAGUUCUUAUGGUCGACUCCCAUCGCAGCCCACCUGGUUUCCGUCGCAGCGGCGGCAACGGUGGCGGUGAUGGCCCGUCAUACGGCCACGAGGAGUAUCAACCCCAACCUCUCAACUCGCAGCAGAGGGAGGAGCUGCACCGCCGCAACGUGAAGGCCCAGCAGACCCCCAUCAUAGGGGAGACCGCCGAGGCUCGGGCCUUGGAGGCAGUGCGCCUGGCCAUGCUGGCUGAGCGCACUCGUUUGGAGAAUCUCCAACAUUCUCUCGACGAGCAGGCCCGUCGACUGAUUCCCGAAUCCAGUCGACGUCCACGAUAGUUGUUUCCACUAGAAACUUAGGUAUUCCGCACUCCAAUCCAGAAUCUUGCAGCUGCUGCACAAAUAGCAGAGUCCAUUCAGCCGUCCCAUUCAGAGGCUGGAAGAGGCUUGGAACAUAUCAGGACGCUGCUCCGAGCAGCGGGAGAACUGAACUCCGUUGUGUCCCAGUCGCGGAACAGGAUCCGCAGCAGAUCAAUAAGGGCAGACACCGGUUAGUCGACACACAGUCCUGGGUCGCCUUUGUAGCGUGAAGAUCAUGAUCACCGUCGAGAUCGACACCCAGGAAGAGCUCAUGGAGAGUUCGACCAGGAGUACGCCCACGACAACCGCCGUCGAGUGCCUUUGCCUCUUCCGAGAGACGGGUCAUACGCGCCCCUGCGGUAUGAUGACAGGCGCCCGUAUGGUAGUGAUAGCAGAGUUCCAGUCGACCCAAGAGAGCUUAGUUUCGACGCAAGGUCAAUCCUUGUUCAAGGUUCGGUCGAUCGAAACAAAGCAUACAUAGAGGGGAUGGAUAGAGACAUGCCCAGUGGAAGCAGGGUCCAAGUUUCUGGCCCUGAGUGUUUUGGAAGAGCCAUCAGAGCCGCCGAGAUCCCUCACAACUUCAGAUUGGCGACUAGCAUCAACAAGUUCGCAGGAGAAUCAAAGCCCAACACUUGGCUCGAAGACUACCGAGUGGCUGUGCACAUUGGUGGCGGCAGCGAUGAGGUGGCCAUGAAGCACCUCCCUCUGAUGCUUGAAGGUUCCACCAAGGCCUGGCUGAAUUAGUUAGCCCCUGGAAGCAUUUUGAGUUGGGAUGAGUUGUCCCGAGUGUUUACCAGAACAUUUGAGGGCACCUGCAAGAGACCUGCUGGUUUGCCAGAAUUGCAGCAUUGCGUGCAGAAACCAAAUGAGACCUUGAGAGAUUAUAUCCGGAGAUGGAUCACUCUGCACCACACAGUGGAGAAUGUGUCAGAUCACCAAGCAGUCUGUGCCUUUAAGGAAGGCGUUUGCUACAGAGAGCUCAAUCUGAAGUUCGGUUGGACCGGAGAUAUGUCUCUGGCUCGGAUGAUGGAGAUUGCCACCAAGUACACUAACAGCGAAGAAGAAGACCAACUUCAGAGUGGCAAGAACAGACCAGUCGCCUAGGACACCGGGGAGGGAAUUCCAGUCGGAAGCAGAAGCGAAAGGCUGAGGCAGCAGGUCCUGCCGAGGCAGCAGUGUUAAACCAAGGAAAAUUCAAGGGGAAGCCCAAAUUGCCUUGGAUCCCUAAGAAAGUGAAGGAUCAUGCAAGAAAUGACGUGAUGGAUUUGCCAUGUCAUAUACACAACAAAAAGGAUGAGGAGGGGAACCUGAUUCUCCCCAAGCAUACGACUCGACGGUGUCGACUCCUGAUCCAGAGCUUUCGAGAAAGCCAGCCCAGUGAAAAGGACAAAGAGUCUGAUAAAGAGGAAGACAAAGAUGAUGAUGGCGGUUACCCCAAUGUUAAUGCAACCUUGGUGAUUUUUGCUGAUCUCGAGAGAAAAAGUCGACUGAAAGUCAUUAAUAGAGAGGUGAACAUGGUUGCUCCAGCAACACCAAAAUAUUUGAAGUGGUCAAAAACCCCUAUUACAUUCGACCAGUCCGACCACCCGCCACACGUUGCUACCCCUGGGCGGCAAGCGCUAGUGCUCGACCCAGUCGUUGGGGCACCCGACUGACCAAGGUUUUGAUGGAUGGUGGCAGUGGUCUGAAUAUCCUAUAUGCUGAGGCCCUUAAAGGGAUGGGCAUUCCGAUGUCCAAGCUCAGCGAGAGCAAUAUGCGAUUCCAUGGAGUCAUCCCAGGAAAGAAAGCCGACUCACUCGGUCAUAUCACUCUUGACGUGGUUUUCGGCGAUGAGAAGAAGUACCGCAAGGAAAAGUUGACGUUUGAUGUAGUGGAUUUCCAAAGUGCCUAUCAUGUCAUUUUGGGCAGACUUGCCUAUGCUAGCUUCAUGGCUCGACCGUGUUAUGUGUACCUCAAGAUGAAGAUGCCUGGCCCAAAGGCGUGAUAAUGGCCGCUGGUAACCGGCAAAGAGCAGAAGACUGCCUUCAGGACAGUGCGAAGAUAGCGGAUGAGCAGAUGGCAGCAGUGGAGUUUCAAGAGUACCAGAAGACUGCAGAUCUGAGUGAUUUGCUGCGUGCCAAGAGGCCUUCCUCGGAGUCCACAUUUUAGUCGGCCAGCGAGACCAAGCCAGUCCACAUUCACCCGACCGACCCCAAUGCUGCUCCGACCCAUAUCUCAACGACACUCGACAACAAAUAGGAAGAAGCGCUCAUCCAGUUCCUUCGUGAGAACUAGGACAUCUUUGCAUGGAAGCCAUCUGACAUGCCAGGUGUACCCAGGGGACUGGCUGAGCACCAUUUGCGAGUCGACCCAAAGGCAAAACCCAUUAAGGAGCAUCUCUGUUGGUCCGCCGCGGAGAAAAGAAAGGCGAUUGGCGAGGAGGUGGCUCAGCUUCUGGCUGCUGAGUUCAUCCGUGAGAUAUACCACUCCAAGUGGCUCGCCGAUGUCGUUAUGGUCCCCAAGAAAGAUAAAUCACUUCGAAUGUGUAUUGACUUCAAGCACAUCAAUCGGGCCUGCCGAAAGAUUACUUUCCUCUGCCCCGCAUCGACCAGAUAGUCGACUCAACUGCGGGAUGUGAGCGACUGUCCUUUUUGGAUGCUUAUUUCGGGUACCAUUAGAUCCGACUGUAUGGACCCGACGAGAUAAAGACAAUUUUCAUCACCCCGUUCCGGUAUUUUUGCUAUGUUACUAUGCCCUUUGGCCUCAAGAAUGCUGGUGCCACAUUCAUGCACAUGAUUCAGAAGUGCCUGCUCACUCAAAUCAGUCAGAAUGUGGAAGCAUACAUGGAUGGCAUAGUGGUUAAGUCACGCAAAGGUUCCGACCUGCCGACUGACCUCGCUAAAACCUUUGCCAACUUAAGAAGAUAUGAUAUCAAGCUCAAUCCGUCAAAAUGCACAUUCGGAGUCCCCAGCGGAAAGUUACUCAAUUUUCUCGUUUCUGAACGAGGGAUCAAUGCGAAUCCAGAGAAGAUUGGCACAAUCCUCCGAAUGAAGCGCCCAAUGCAUGUGCACGAUGCUCAGAAGCUUACUGGUUGUUUGGCUGCAUUGAGCCGAUUGAUCUCACGCCUCGGUGAAAAGGCACUGCCUCUUUACCGACUGAUGAAGAAAUCUGACAAGUUCGAGUGGCAUGACGAAGCUGAAGCAGCAUUUGAAGAGCUCAAAGCCCUGCUUUCCACCCAGACGGUGCUUGCUGCUCCAGUCAGCAAGGAGCCUUUACUAUUUACAUCGCAGCCACAGGACAAGUUGUUAGCAUAGUGCUCACGGUCGAGUGGGAAGAAGAAGGCAAAGCCUUCAAAGUUCAGCGCCCUGUGUAUUACAUUUCAGAAGUCUUGACCCCGUCCAAGCAGAGAUACCCUCAUUAUCAGAAGCUUGUUUAUGGGAUCUACCUGACCACGAAGAAAGUUGCACACUAUUUCUCUGACCACUCAGUUUUAGUCGUCAGCAACGCUCCAUUGUCAGAAAUUCUGAAUAACAGAGAUGUAGCUGGUCGAGUGGCAAAAUGGGCGAUUGAACUCCUUCCUUUAGAUAUCAAGUUUGAGGCAAAGAAGGCCAUCAAGUCUCAAGCAAUUGCAGAUUUCCUCGCAGAGUGGAUAGAACAACAGCAGCCGACUCAGAUUCAAUCGAAACAUUGGACCAUGUUCUUUGAUGGAGCCAAGAUGUUGAAUGGCUCUGGUGCAGGAGUGGUUUUAGUGUCCCCACAAGGAGACAAGCUCAGUUAUGUCCUCCAGAUCCACUUUGAUUCUUCAAACAAUGAAACUGAGUUUGAGGCACUAUUGUAUGGGUUGCGUAUGGCGAUUUCACUCGGCGUCCGAUGCUUGAUGAUCUACGGCGACUCAGACUUAGUGGUUAAUCAAGUAAUGAAUGGAUGGGAUGUCUGGAUUCCAGCAAUGACCGGUUAUUACAAUGGAGUGAGAAAGCUAGAGAAGAAGUUUGAGGGGUUAGAGCUCCACCACAUACCAUGAAUCAAGAAUCAAGCUGCUGAUGAUCUGGCGAAGAUAGGUUCCACUUGGAAGCCUAUCCCCAGCAACGUGUUUUUGGAGCAUCUCGACGCCCCGUUAGUACAAGAAGAUCCCUUCAAGGAAGAGCCCCCGCAACCAAUAAGUUCAACCGACCCGACUGAGAUUUAGGUUCCAGUUGUGGUCGACUUGAUCAUGGAAGUCUUGGUGAUCACGCCCAAUUGGACGAUACCGUACAUCGCGUACAUUCUCAAGCAGGAGCUCCCAGAGGAUGAGGAUGAGGCUCACCAGAUAGUCCGUCGAUCGAAAGCUUUCAUCGUGAUAAAGGGACAACUUUACAGAGAAAGCAUAACAGGAGUGGCUCAACACUACAUGACCCCAGAAGAAGGUCGAAUGAUCCUAAGGCCUCGUUUGACACAAGGGGGUCAGAGGGGUUUUGAGGGGAUUAUCCCUCGAGGCCCAGAAUCCCCGCAAGGCCCAGACAAACCGUUUGGUACACGAGGGUUAGAUGGGCCAAACCGCCCGGUUCCCCUUCGACCCCCUUCUACCCACGCACUUUAGAAGACUCGAGGGGGGCCUCAAGGAUUUGGUCGCCCGACUCCUCGCAAGACGCCACCGCCGCUGACUCCUCCCCAAGAUGCCGCCGCCGACUCCUCCCCGCCGCCCGACGCCUCGACGCCGACAUACUGGACUUCUCCCCGGUGGUAAGUCAUCGUCUCCCCUCCUUUCCCUCGUCGUCUAGGGUUUGCUAUCGGCCAUGGCUGCUGCUGGAGUUGGUGCCGUCCCAGGACUGGCGGGGCCGUGGCCGUGGUCGUACAUGGCGCCAUGCUGCGUCUCUUUUGGCCCCAUCAUCGAGCUGCUCAACUCCAGGGUGCUCUCCAAGCACUUCAGCCCCGCCUGCCCCAAGUACGGCCCGCCCAAGAAGUAACCACCAACUGCUGGUUGGGAUUGAUCCGUCCGUCCGUCCAUGCCAUUCAGCUAGCAUACAUACAAUACUGCUGCUGCUACUAAUCGAUCUGUCUAUUAAAAUAAUGUGUUGUACUACCUGUUUGUUGUGUCCUGUGUGAAAAUUUCCUAGCUACUUUUAAUUGUUGUUGGUUGUCUUGUCAUCGAGUACUACCUCCGUCCUGGUUUAUAGGUCCCCUUUUUAGUUUGUGCCAAAUUUUGACUAAAGAUUUAACUAAUAAAAUGUUAAUGCAUGUCAAGAAAAAUUAUCUCAUUGGAUUCGUAUUUUGAACAUAAUUUUCAAAAGUAUAAUGUUUGGUGACAUGCGUGAACAUUUUGUUAGUUUAAUCUAUGGUCAAAAUUUGGCACAAAAUACAAUGGGGACCAAUAAACCCGGACGGAGGUAGUACUUAUUAGAUUGUGCUAGUAGUUACAUGAUGCAACUAUCUGUCGUGUCAUUUCUUAUGCGGAGUCAAGUCAAGUGGCGCUGUGUUUUGAACCAUUUGGUUUUACCAUGGAAAUCAUGCACUUACUGUAAGCCAUGAAUCUACUGUUGAUUAAUUCAGGUUAAGAGGAUGAUGUGUGCGCACACUAUCUUCCUGUCCAACCACCCGUUGUACAUGUCAAUCCCGAUUAAGCAGGAUUACAAAUACAAAUAGGAUGUUUCUUUGGUGCUACUUGAUCUGAAUGUUAAUGGAACAAUAGCUGCUACUCUGAAUUUGUGAUGAAUCAUAUUAAAAGUAUUUGAUUAGCCUAAUGGCUGAUGCUUUCCGUUUGAGGCACAACUUGACUCAAAACUGAAUAAUGCAAUAGUAUAUUAUCUUUGUAUGUCAUAUUAUCCCCUUCAAAUACUAUGGCUGGAAAAGACUAAAGCCUCUUCCGAUUUGCACCAACCAAGGGUUACGUGUGUUCUUUCACAGACUGGUACUAUGCUUUAUGCCCAGUGAAGCUAUGUUGUUAAUUUGUUAUAUCAUGAUUUUAGCCCAGCAGAUUGUUAGAAUGUUUACCCUCAGUUGAGCGUGUUAUCCAAUCUGCCUAGAAUGUUUACAGGCUAUGCUUUAUGCAAACAGAGUUAGGCAUUAACAGAGUUAGGAAUUAUAUAGAGACUGUGAGUUCAUGUUUAUAUAUGCCCAAUGAAUCUGAACGAAUAACCUUCGGUCGUCCUUCAGUUCUGUGUAUCCAUGUGUUUGCUUUGUCUUUGUUUUUCCUGUUUCCAAUCUUUACUCAGACUCUUGCAAUUGUUGGUAAACAAUUCUUACUCUCAGAUGUAACAUGAUAACAACUAGACUAGUAUUAAAUAGGAUGCAUAUAGACAAAAGAUGGUUUAUAGUAUUUCUUCUUAUGAAGAAAGAAAGAGCUGCUGUAGAAAAGGACAUGAUCGCAAUCACUACUUAGUAGUGUGAAGUCAUCUGCAAUUAGAACUCACUGGCUAGUGCACUGCUUUUACAAGAUUGCAAUUCCUGCUCAUAUUUGACUUUAAUCUACAUGGAGACUUUGGAGAACUAGCAUUCAGUUUAGGCUACAAAUGUUUGCAAAAACAUUCAGUUGCAUAUAUGAUGUGUAUCUUUUGUUCCUAGCAUUGUUGUAUCUUAAUAUUUCUUUCAUUUACCGCGUCCUUGUAAUCUAGGGAACCAUAUCUGCAAGCUAGAGUUUAGGCUAUAUAUUUUUACAGAGUUUAUAAAUCUAAUGUAGAAUAAUUAGGAUUCAACAAGCGUAAACCUGUUACUUCCCUUGCCAAUGAAUUGACCCGAUGAAAUGAACGUAGUUUAUAAAUCUGGAAAAUAAAAUACAAAAGGCGCAUCGAAAGCUUUAUAUUGCUUCCAUUUGGGAAACUGGCAACUGGCAAUGGCUUCAUUUUAUACAGCUACGACAAUGUUGAACCUUGUUUUCUGAGACGCAUAUAUUCACUAUGCCUGCUCGAGUAACUCUUUUUGUUCUCAGCCGGACGCUACAAAAGCAAGCAAAUUCAUGGAGCUUCUAUUUGUUAACAAUAGCUACAUUGUUUUCUUCAGUAUCAUCAGCUUUUUUCUCAUCUCUCUGAACCAGGUUGAGAAGUAGAACAAGCAGAGGGAGAAUGGGACGUUUGCACAUUGGUCUUUCUAAAUCAUCUGUUUGAGAGUCUCCUCGGUUGCUUUUGUGUCGGCGCUACUGCUGCCUUGUGCUUGGAAUUUAUGCUCUUGUCAUGUACUCUCUUCCAACAAUCGCUGCAGAAUAUCAAGUGAUGCUUUUCUUUAUGUUGCAUAAAUAGUUCAACAUGCUUAAAUGUACGCAUGUCUUUCCUGGGACUUGUGAAUGCCUCCCUGUCAAACAGUGAGAGAUUAUGAUGUUGUAUGUGACAGUAUGUGAUGACAUAUUGAUUCUAAUUUCUAAGUCAUGCUAAUAUUUUUGGUUCCAAGUCAUGCUAAUGUGAGAGAUGAAGCUGCCGUUAUGUGACAGUAUGUGAUGACAUUUUAAUUCCAAGUCAAGAAAAUUAUGUUGUUCAUGUGAAGAAUUGUUGCAAGAUUAGAUUUUUAAUUGUUAUACACCAUUUUAAUUCAAUAUGGCAAUCCCUCCCUAUCAAACAGUGUUAUGUACAGAGGGGGAUUUGAGGGAUGUGUGGCUGGAAGGGGAUUUGAGGUUUCAAGGGGAUUGGGUGGAAGAGGGGGAUUCACCAAAUCCCCUGAAAUCCCCUCCUCCCAAAACCUCCACAAUCCCUUGCUGCCAAACGAGGCCUAAAUGAUAUCCACUCGGGGACCUGUGGUCACCAUGCAUCCUCUCGGAACAUCGGGCCAAAGCAUACCAAGCGGGAUUCUAUUGGCCUCGGGCAAAUGAGAUGGCAAAAGAUAUAGUCGACAGGUGCGUAGGUUGCCAGUUCUACUCCAACAUGUCCCACAAGCCUGCGUCUGCCUUGAAGACUAUUCCACUCGCCUGUCCGUUUGCAGUUUGGGGGUUGGAUACUCAUUUGCUCGUAGCAGUCGACAAGUUCACUAAGUGGAUCGAAGCCAAACCCAUUAAAAACCUUGACUCAAGCACUGCCGUCAGUUUCAUCAAGGAGUUGAUAUUCAGAUAUGGAGUUCCUCACAGCAUUAUCAUAGAUAAUGGAUCCAAUUUUGAUUCUGAUGAGUUCAAGGCAUUCUGUGCAUCCCAAGGCACUCGGGUCGACUAUGGGUCUGUUGCACACCCGCAGUCGAAUGGACAAGCAGAAAGGGCGAAUGGUUUGAUCCUUCAAGGGUUAAAACCCUGACUGAUGCGUGACCUCAAGCACGCUGUCGGAGCUUGGGUGACCGAGUUACCGCCCGUCCUAUGGGGGCUGAGAACGACGCCGAACCGGUCGACUGACCGGACCCCUUUCUUCCUGGUGUACGACGCCGAGGCUGUGCUUCCGAGUGACUGGCUGCACAAUGCUCCCCGGGUGGAACUCUUCUCAGAAGCUGAAGCAGAGCAGGCACGCGAAGACGUAGUCGGUCUCCUGGAAGAGGAACACGAGAUGGCUCUGAUCCGGUUGACCAUCUAUCAGCAAGAUCUGCAUCGAUUCCAUGUCUAUAAUGUCAGAGUCGAGCAUUCCAGGAAGGAGACCUUGUGCUCCAAGUGGAUCAGAAACGGCCUCACAAGCUUGCUCCGGCCUGGGAAGGUCCCUUCAUCAUCACCAAGGUGCUUCACAAUGGAGCGUACCACGUCUACAACGUAGCCAAGAACAUGGACGAGCCUUGCGCAUGGAACACAAAGCUACUUCGCCCUUUCUAUACCUGAAAUCACUUGGAUCAACGAGUUGUAAUAGGAAGUCCUUCAGUUUGCUUACCAAAGACAAGAUUUUUGUAGUAUCUUAAUGAUUGAUUUCCCGUAAUCAUUUGUGUCCGAAUCCCCCAGUGGGUGGCUUAGCCCCAACCUGAUUCGCCUAAGUUAAAAAACAUUCCAAGUGGAGAGCAAUCCUCCCACUCGGUGGCUUAGCUACGACCCUGUACUCGCCUAAGUAAAAAAACAUUCCGAGUGGAGAGAAAUCCUCCCACUCGGGAGCUUAGAUGCGACCCCGUACUUGCCUAAGUUAAAAAAACAUUCCGAGUGGAGAGCAAUCCUCCCACUCGGGGGCUUAGCUGCGACCCCGUACUCGCCUAAGUUAAAAAAACAUUCCGAGUGGAGAGCAAUCCUCCCACUCGGGGGCUUGGCUGCGACCCCGGACUCGCCAAAGUUAAAAAACANNNNNNNNNNNNNNNNNNNNNNNNNNNNNNNNNNNNNNNNNNNNNNNNNNNNNNNNNNNNNNNNNNNNNNNNNNNNNNNNNNNNNNNNNNNNNNNNNNNNNNNNNNNNNNNNNNNNNNNNNNNNNNNNNNNNNNNNNNNNNNNNNNNNNNNNNNNNNNNNNNNNNNNNNNNCAUUCCGAGUGGAGAGCAAUCCUCCCACUCGGGGGCUUAGCUGCGACCCCGUACUCGCCUAAGUUAAAAAACACUCCAAGUGGAGAGCAAUCCUCCCACUCGGAGGCUUAGCUGUGAUCCCGUACUCGCCUAAGUUAAUAAACACUCUGAGUAGAAAGCAAUCCUCCCACUUAGGGGACUUAGCUGUGACCCCGUACUCGCCUAAAGUCACACGACGUCAAAGCUGCGUCACAAGUACAAUGUACGCUCCAUCCCGAUCCGCAAGAACGACGAGGUGUCAACUGAACACAACAUUAGAGCGGCGUCACAAGUUCAAUGUACGCUCCAUCCCGAUCCGCAAGGACGACUAGGUGUCGAUUGAACACAUCGUCAGAGCCAUUCGACGAAAGGUGAAAAGAUCAGUUCACUCGGAAUCGAAAGACUUUCAAAAGCGAUAAAGACAAAGCCAUCGUAUACAAGGAAAACCAAGUUCAGAUAAAUCCCGCAAAAGUUCAGAACCACAACGGGCAGAAGUACUCAGACAUCAAGCCUGA